rnacentral:rRNA from 1 species
GGGAAUAUUGCACAAUGGGCGCAAGCCUGAUGCAGCGACGCCGCGUGCGGGAUGACGGCCUUAGGGUUGUAAACCGCUUUCAGCAGGAACGAAAAUGACGGUACCUGCAGAAGAAGGAGCGGCCAACUAUGUGCCAGCAGCCGCGGUGAUACAUAGGCUACAGGCGUGGUCGGGAGUUAUUGGGCGGAAAGGGUUCGUAGGCGGGCGAGCAGGUGGGGGGGGAAGAUUCUGGGCUUAACCGAGUGAC